GAUUAACGCUGGCGGCGUGCCUAAUACAUGCAAGUCUAGCGAACAGACUAGGGUCUUGCUCCUCUUACGUUAGCGGCGGACGGGGGAGUAACACGUGGAGAACCUACCUAUAAGACUGUGAUAACUUCGUGAAACCGGAGCUAAUACCGUUUUAUCUAUUUAACCGCAUUGUUCAAUAGUGUGAGACGGUUGUGCUUUCUCUUAUAACUGGAUCCUGUCCGCAUUAUCUAGUUGGUAAGGCAACGGUUUACCAAGGCAACAAUGCGUAGCCGACCUGAGAGGGUGAUCGGCUACACUGGACAUCACACACGAUAAAGACUCCUACGGGAGCCAGCAGUAGGGAAUGUUCCGCAAUGGGCGACAGCUUGACGGAGCAAAGCAGCGUGAGUGAUGAAGGUCUUCGGAUCGUAAAACUCUGUUAUUAGGGAAGAACAAAUGUGUAAGUAACUAUGCACGUCUUGACGGUAACUACUCAGAAAGCCACGGCUAACUACGUG
rnacentral:rRNA from 1 species